rnacentral:pre_miRNA from 1 species
CAGAUGAUAUAAAUGAGGCGGAGUUUGACACGAGCAUGUAUCAUUUCAGCGAGCUUAUACCUCCAUCGCGGGAAAGCAAGAGUUUGAGCGAAGCUCAUAGAAACAACAGCAAGCUGCAGAAGUGGUACAAGAAACAUGAUAAGUUUGGGGGACGGCUCAGGAAGUGUGUGUUGCAUUGUGUAUAUUUUUGAGUCUG